GGGAGUUCUGUUGGUUAACAGGAGUGGAAUGUUUACGGUGUGGGUUUAGUAGGUGGAGGCGGUGGCGACAGACUCCGCUCAGCUGAUAGGGGACAGCGGGCGGAACGCCACCUGCGAACACGUAACACUAGACGGGUUGAUAAGAAGCAGGGUGAACUCGAGGGCACGUUGGUGUCCCACCGGAAUUACUUUUCAGUGACUUCCCAUGAUGCAUUAGGUGUAGGUGGUACCCUCCUCUCCUCCUCUCCUUCCUCCUCCUCCUCCCUCCCUCUCUUCUUGUCUCUGAUCAGCACCUGGUCGUCUGCGUCUCCCGUGACGGUGAAAUGAAUCAGCGCUCCCAUUGGCUCGUGCCCUUCCGUCACCCCGACCCCCAGCGAGGGAGGGGGUCCCGCCGUCAGCUCGGGCUCCGGGGGGGGGGCCUCUCUCGGUUUCCUCCUGCUGCUCCUCCUGCUCCACCGGCUCCCGGGGCCGCCGCGGCUGACCUUGACGCGCAGGAGCGUCUCUCCGUCGUCGCCCUCGGUUACGCCGUCGUUGGCGUCAAACCCCUCGCCUUCCGGGUCCACAGGGCCUGGACACGCUGCGCCCGCCGCCGCCGCUGCCGCCGCCGGCCCGCAGGUCUGUGGGCCGCCAUCCCCCUGCCCCAGCUCCUCCCCCACCCACGCCGGCGCGUCCCCGGGGCCCUCGGGCUCGUUGGGCUCGAACAUGCGUCCGUAGAAGCCGCCCGGAGCGUCGAGGAACUUGACGAUCCGCAUGGAGCUCCGGGUGGAUUUCUUCUUAGAGCCGAUGGUCAUGGCGUCCCCGCUUUGUGUUUUUUCCGACCGUGCUGGUUUCCUGGUUCGUUAUUUUUGUUGGGUUUAUUCACUGGUUUCUCUUGAGGGUUUCUGGAAGCU
ensembl:lncRNA